CUCUUGUUGGUGCACCGGAAGACGCGUGGGAAAUCGAUUGCCUUUGAUUGAUUACCAUGCUUGCCUGAAAAUUAUAUGGAUCUAGGUUCAGAGAUCUAUCGUCGUCCUCUUCCUCAAGGUCACAGGAAAAGUACUCGAAUUGUUCUAUCAGACUAUAAGAAAAUCUAAUGAAUAAGAGGAGUAGUUUGAUUACCUGCGACUAAAGUUGAUAUUCUUCUUGAAAAUAAACGACGAUCAAGACGACGACGAUUAAAACAACGAUGAAGAAAACAAGACGUCAUGUCGGCCGCCCCCACGAUAUUAAGCUCGCCUACGAUAUUUUACAAGCAAGCUUCCUUUUAUGGGAAUACGAUUAUGACAUUUUAAACAACGAUGAGGCAUGAUAAAAUAACUUAGUGUCAAUAUAAGUUUAUAAUAAUAUCGUUUAGAAACAAAAAUUAUUCAAUCUCUUUCUCAACAGAAAAAGAAAACAAAAAGUAUCUCAUCUAUAAUAUAAUCACAAAACACACACACACCUUUAUUAAUUUUAUUAGAAAAUUUUGAUGAGAUAAAUAAUAACGAGGAUAAUAUAUAUUUAAAAUAAAAAAUAAAAGGGGAACAAAAAUGAAUAAUCUUUGUAAUCACUGGUCAAACAAGGAACACUUUUUAAAUACAAUGCUACCCCAAACUUUCGAUUAAUCUUGUAAGCAACGUGACGUAUUGUAACUUACCCUCAAUGUUUCGCCAUGACAGUUGUUCAAAAGGGGAAACAUUAGUUGCUAUAGAAACCAUCACAAUUCGAUGGGAAGGGAGAAGAACUGUUAUUUGUUUUGUAUUAUCUGAUUAAUUUAUUAAGUCGAUAUUUAUUUGUUUUUCUUUUUUUUUUUGUAUUUUAUUUUUUUAAUAUAUUAAUCUUCAUCAUAAUUAAUAUUUUUCUUGUUCAUAAACAUAGAAAGAUCGUAGAAUCAAAAAAAUGUAUUUUAAUAUAAGGAGAGAUGAUGAUGAUAAUAGGCUUGCUUGUUUUUGUUUUAGUAGGUAAUAGUAUAAUACGUUGCAAAAAGGUUUUUAAUAAUUAAUCGUAGGAAAUAGAAUAAUUAAAAAUGACAAUGAUUAUAGUCUACACAUAUCAUUUAUUAUUCCUUUUCUUUACACAUCAGUGAUUCUACGAUCGUUGGUCCUCGAUCGAUGAUCUCUAAUAACUCCUUCAAUCAUUUUGUACGUGGAUCGAGUUAUUAUUAUAUCAAUGAAAAUGAUGAAAAUGAUGAAAACCGAAUAAUGAAUUAUACGGGGUGUCCCAAUUUCUUAUAGAGUCAAAUUUUACCAAUGUAUUAUUCUACGUGGG